CUUACUCAGAAGGCAAGAAGUCAAAGGACUAGAUCUCUUAAGCUGGAGCUGAACUGCCUUUCACAAGUUGUUCACAAUUGUCCAUAGCAGGAAGAGUACACCUAUGGCCAGUAGGGAAGAAACGAUUCGCCGAAGGACACAAGGCUUGCGAGCGAGGUGAAGUCGGCACUCUCACAGCAUCCAGGCAAAGGUGAAAGAUGUACGAGAUACUAGCCCGGAUCCCCGCCUGCUAGGCAGAGGAAGUAGCCGGCAGGCCAGACGGGCGCGACACCUCCCAGGCCGUCAGAAGAUCCUGGCCCAGAGAAUAGGCUUCCACUCCCUUGUCACCUGCCCGACCCGCUGCCUUUCUGGGGUAAGCUCCUCGCACAAACACCCCUCCCCGUCCCUGCGACCCGGUCUCCACGCC